UGAGAUCAUGACCUGAGCUGAAACCAUGAGUUGGAUGCUUAACCAACUGAGCCAUCAAGUAAAUGGCAGUAAAUCUUGGUAGUAAAUCUUGAGAAGUGGUUGGACUUUGAGUCCAACCCUCAAAUAAGACAUCAUCUUGGAGACAGAGGGGAGAGCUGGAUGGAAGAUGAAGGGGAGUUUGGCUCUACAAGGCACUUGGGGAAGAUGCGAUGGCAAAGGAAGAACCAGUGAAGUCUCCAUUCAAAGCCACUCUACCAUUUUCACAGAGGAAGAGCCCUCAGUGCUAUGAGAUCAAUGAAUAAUCUAUCCUAGAGUCCAUUGCAAUCCAAAGAACUGGACUAGCUUGGGCUCUUUUCUUCUCCUUGACUUUUCAGUAGUUAGGAAAUAAUUAUUCAUACUCGUUCCAUCAAAAUCCCUUACUUGCCUGAGUUCUUCCUCAGUGAAAGAUUGGAACUGGAUUAAACUCUUUUCCCUCAACGACUUCUCAGUUACAGUUUCCCUAAGCCUUGAAUGACCUUUGAGUUGUCUGCCCCGUGUUCUCCCGGGUUAAAGAAUAGUCAGAUUUUUGUCUCAUCCUGUUCGAAGCUGGUGUUCUUAACGGUCCGGGAACUCCAUUCGGUCGUGCCAUUGUCAGUGUGGCACUGGUCCUGCCCUGGUGAGGACGAGUGCCAGCAUUUCUGCAAGCAGCUUGAUGAGGGGGGCUCGUUAGGGGCCAAACUCAUCAAGCUCAACCUCUCAGCCUAGAGGCAGAGCAAGUCACUUUCCAAGAGACUGCUGGUCCUGCGAUUGUGUUGCCUUUUGGAGGUGGUUUUACUUUUUUUUAAAUUUUUUUUUAUUUCUCCUUCUGAAGUCCAGCUCGUUGGCCCAUUUCAAGUUGCUUCUGAUCUUUAACUGCUGCUCCUCAGCCCCUUGAAUCCAUCCUUGGGGAGGCUUUCAUUGGUCACUUUGCAGAGUCCCCUCAGGCCAAGAAAGCCUCCCUCACUUUGUUUCUACUUAACCCUUGCCCUUCCUGGUGGUGAGGGGCCAUCUCUGGGCCGCCUCCCUUGUAGUCUGUUAUUAUUUGCAGGUGAUUAGCAGGUGGCUUCUAAGCAGAAAGGAACAUUGCCCCAGGCUCCGCUCUCCCAUAGGCUCUUGCCAUUUUGCUACAAAAGAGAAAAAUCGAGCCUUUGAACAGUGUAUAUAUACUAUUCAUGUCCUCAGGAAGAGAGGAAUGUCUAUAAAAUUUCAGGGACAGUAUUAGAUUUUACUCAGUUAUCAGAGGGCUGAACUAUUGGGUUAUGGUGCGGAUUGCUUUUGGAAUUAAAAAGAAGCAGUUGCCCUAGCUAGGCGUCGGGUCUUUUAGUAAGAGCUUAUUUGAGAAUUUCUCUCUAGACACUAAUCCCCCAACAAGUUGUAUUCCAGUGAGACAGAGUGUCCAUGAGAUCUAGUAAUUGGGGCUGUGUUGAGCUAUUCUUCUUGCUGGGGGAGCCAGCCUGGUGACAGCACGCCGUGUUCAGCAUUCCACCUGCACGCCGGCUACUCAUUUGACCACAUGAAAGCUCCCUUCCCUACCUCAGUCCUCCAGGCUUUUUUGUCACCGACUCUGCUACCUUCGGAUCCCCCAGGGGAAAUAUUAUAUGCUUCUUUCAACAUCUUGAGCUACUGUCCAUGGCAUUAAGUGAAACACAUAUAUAUAUAUAUAUAUAUAUAUAUUUUUUUUUUUUUUUUUUUUUUUUUUUUCCCCUGAACCAUUGCUGCAAAUGCUGUGUCCUGCUAGGCUCUUCCCUCCCAAAAGGAGCCAGUUCAUUCACCUGAGUUUUAAAUUGCCAGUUUGUCUCCUAUUGCUUUUUAGUUGAAAAAUAAAAUUAAAAGCCCA